AUAUUAAAAGGGAUAUAUGAGCUCCAUUUAGCCUAUCCACGUAGGAUGAAAAAAUCGACCAAUAGGAAGACUCAAUUUUGACACGUACUCUAAAAACAUUGGAGCGAAGUCUAAUCUACUGAACUUCCAAAAUGUAUAUUGGGUCAUCUAACUUAAAGCCCACAGCCCUUCAAACAGCUAUGACUCUUCCACCUCCUUCAUCGCUUCAAUCGCUUUCAUCCGUAACUAUCGUAAAUCUCCGUUUAGGUUUAGUUAACACCACCCACUAAUCCUCAUUCAAUUCCAUCCUUUAAUCCUAUCUUCAUGUAUAUCCUUUCACCUCCCUUUGCUUCUCAUGUUUUAUAAACCUUUUCCUCGAUUCUCACCUUGAUCCAAUUUUUAUAACCUCCAUUCAACCAAAUCAAGCAAUAGCAGUCAAAUCUCCGGCAAGUUUCCAGUGGCCCCACAUUUUAACGACAUCUCACGUACUCAAAGUUAUGAGCUGGAAAGCUGAAAGCCCUUGAACGAUGACCUCCCCUGCUAAGUUCUGCUGCGGCCAAGUUCUCGAAGAAAGAUCUCACCAAGUUCUGCUUCCCUUUUCUCUUUGCUAUGGAUGUAUGAGUCUUAGAUGAAUUAUGUUAUCUUGGCUGUCUUUAUCUCACCAACUUUAUAUUGGGAUUGGUUAUAAGUUUCAGAAAAAAAAAACUUCGAAUUGGUUUUGUAUUAAUUGUUUCAUGAUUCCAGGCUAACGUAUAAGCCGAAGUACAAAUUGAUAUUCUCAUCAAUAAAUAUGCUUCUAUGCAGGUUUCUUUAUACGAAAUACAAGAGCAGUCUAGAUUCUAUCUAUCUUAUGGAUUUUCACUUAGAGUGGACGGUCUCAAUUUCUUUGAAUAGGGGUGGACAGUUUACUUUCUGGAUGCGUCAUCGUCAGCUGAUUUUUUGGAGCGAUGAAUAAUUGGGAUGAUACAUUUGUUCCAGAGACCAGUUUCUGAAGAGAAAACUAACAAAGGAAUGGAAUUGAUCGAACGAUGCACACGAGCAGCUUGGGAGAAGGACGCAUGCAUGUUGAACUUCAGAUUUUCUGAUUCUUUAAUCCUACUGUUUACUGAUGGAACUUGGGAUUAGAUUUGAAUGAAAUUUUGUAUGUGCUGGGGACUUUUAUGCUCCCAUUUUGCAGAAGAUUCAGUAUAGGAUGAGUGCCCUCCACAUCUGUUUCUACCUUAUAUUGAAUAAUAUUUAAGCUAUAAAAAAUAUCUUCAGCAGACAGCUAAACUGCUUUUACAAAGUAUCAGUUUGGAUCAUAAUUUGUUUGUUUGACAAUAAAAUUAUAUGGUAUGCGUGUUAAAUAAAUAGCUUCUGAAAUUUAUGAUUAACAUUACUAAUAAAAACCUCAUUUUCAAUACAUGUUGCAUUAGAUGGAGUUCAGAGUUCUUUAAAAAAGGAUGGCAGUAACUUAAUUCCUCUCUGAGAGCAAAGAGCAUUAGAGUUAGAAAACUCUGAGGUAACUUUUUAACGGUUGUAUUUAUAUCUCUUCAACAAACAAAAAAAUGUUCGUAGAUAGAUGUUGGAAGAUAUAUAGUAGGAUCCUAUUUUUAGUCUUUAGGUAGCUCUGGAAAUCUAGAAGAGAUUGUGCUAUGCUGUCUGCACUAAAGAUGAAUUUGCAAUAAUUGGAAUGCAGGAUCUACGAACUUCUGUGUACAGUAAGGCACCAGGCAGAGAUAAUAUUUUUAUCAUAAUUUUUGUCGCCAGAUCAAUUCGUUUAAGGAGGAGAUUUAGAUUCUACAUGGAACCGUAACGAAAACUCAGCAUCGCUUCUUUAACUGUUAUCAUUUUUAUUCAAAAUGUCGUAGCCUUUUUGUCACUAACAAAUAGACAAGCCAAGCAGUUUAACUUCCAAGGUCUAAAAUAAAACAGCUCAUUAGUCAUUAGUUUCUUCGUACUGAUUUUACUGUGGAAAAUAUAAAAUGUUAUGAUCAUAUUUUUGAUUAGUUUAUUUACCCAUUGUCAUAGUUUAAUCUCUUAGUUCAAUUCUGUAUAACACUACAAUUCAUGGACUGUUUAGUUGCAGUUCGAUAAAACUGAGCAAGUUAUUUUUUCAUGCUUA